rnacentral:lncRNA from 1 species
GUGCCUUUAUCUCCCUGGGCCGCAGAAGAAGUUUGAUCCAUUUAUCAUCCUCCUCAAAUGUGGUUUCGACAUCUCGAUUGACCAGCCGUUUCCCUGGAACCAGCUCUGUCAUAAUCGUUGGAGAUAGUCGUUCAUCGUUAUUGGCAACUGUUUCCUUCGGUCACCAUUUAGGGACCGAAGUUUCUUGGGCUGCCCGUCGGCGGGCCAUGCAAUCUAUUCUUUGGUGCCGACGUUUCUGGGAUUUGGACAGUGCAGUGUAGACACCUUUCGAAGAGUGAUAUGUAUACCAACGCUGGUCUCAAGGUUCGGGAGGUUUGAAAGUUUUUUGGCUCUGCGAUGAUUCCGAGAUGCUAGAAUUACGUUUGUAAUAACCUUCGUCAUAAAACGGAGCAUCAAAAUUGAGGCAUCGUCUGACUGAAGGUGUCUCUUCCACCCGUACUUUAGGACCGAGCUUAUCAAAAACCUCUUGAUGUUGGCCUGCGUUGAGCACCUUUUGCUAUGUUGCGGCUGUAGGUUGUUCCAUUAUAGGCGGAGAGGACUUUUCCUUUGGCUUAGUGUUGACAUUUGCUUUACAUUUGCUCAAUAAAACUGCCAACCCACUGUCUUCAUCAGUGCUGUAAUCUAUCAUGGGCUUGACAAUAGCAGGUCUCGUUGUUGAUGUUGCGUUGG